rnacentral:rRNA from 1 species
AAUAUUGGACAAUGGGCGCAAGCCUGAUCCAGCCAUGCCGCGUGAGUGAAGAAGGCUUUCGAGUCGUAAAACUCUGUCCUUGGGGACGAUAAUGACGGUACCCAAGGAGGAAGCCCCGGCUAACUACGUGCCAGCAGCCGCGGUAAUACGUAGGGGGCGAGCGUUGUCCGGAAUUAUUGGGCGUAAAGGGUUCGCAGGCGGCCGAUUAAGUCAGAUGUGAAAUCCCACGGCUUAACCGUGGUAAGCAUUUGAAACUGAUUGGCUUGAGUUAAGGAGAGGAAAGUGGAAUUCCUAGUGUAGCGGUGAAAUGCGUAGAUAUUGGGAGGAACACCAGUGGCGAAGGCGACUACCUGGACGAAAACUGACGCUGAGGCACGAAAGCUAGGGGAGCAAAC